rnacentral:lncRNA from 1 species
GACCAAGCACUACAAGCUGCGCUUGCAAAUAAAACAUAGCACACAUUGUCCAUUGAGAAAGAACACGUACUUACUACAGCAGAGGCAUAUCUUCUGAUGAUAUUCUAGCUUCCUGUUCUUGUUCACACUUCUUAUCAUUGUCACUUAUUAUCUUCCCACAUAAAGCAUCAUUCUGCACCUUGAGGACUUUAUUUUCAAUUCUCAGUCUUGCAUUCUCAGCCUCAAGCAGUGAUAAGUUAUUAAGAUUGGCAUUCUUCCUCAGUGAAGCGUUUUCAUCUUUUAGCUUCUCAUUUUCAAGACGCAGUGGAUCGGCCUACAAUGAAAACUACAGAUUUAAAAAUAAAUACCAGCAUAAGCUCAAACAUGUAUGAGAGCAUCGAAUGUUGUCUUUUUGGAAUGAGCUUACGGUAAUAAAAGCUCAAAAUCAUUUGAACUAAAGUUUAUUAACAAAGCCCAUAUGAAAUGAAUAAUAAUAAUAACAAACCAUCAUUCUGCACCUUAAGGACUUUAUUUUCAAUUCUUUUUCCCGAUAUUUCUUAUCAGUUUUCCUUUUCCGAUCUCUAUCUGGUUCAGAUAAUUUUGAAUUGCUUCUUUUCAAAAGAGAAGCGUUGGAAUUGUUUGGAGCUUGAGAUGCUUGGGUUAGGAUAUUUUCAGGUUGAUUAUUGCUUGGAGGCCAGAAGGUGUUCGGAAAAGGCAAUAAUUCCAUUUGUUGCUGCUGAAAAAUGGAACUCCAAUCCUGAAAAUGCAAAAUAUUUUAACUCAAAACUGAUCAUCUACAGAAUCAAAUAGAAUAAUAGCUUCAAUUUCUGUAUUCCAUUCUGAAAAUAAAAAUCACCCACAGCCACAAAAGCCUGGAAUAUAUUGGAAAAAGAUGAAGAUUAUUAAGUCUACAGAUCCAUCUAUAACAUAAAAAAGGAGUCGAAAAGAGAAAAACCCCCCAAAAGAGCGGAUCCUUAAUCUAACAGAGCAAAACAAUCUGUUCUUACAAAGUCAACGACCAUUUAAUCUGUGGGUUAAACUUAAAAGAGAAAAAUAUAUACAAAUAGCAUCCUUUUUAUUCUGAUAAGAAACGCUUACGACUUCAUCACCAUGAGAGCAGGUUUCACCGGGGCGCUUCUGGGAGAAGACUGACUCGUUCCUCAACUUGGUAGCAGAUGCAGAAAAUAACUCCUCCAUGGAUUGAUUUAGCAGCAUCUAUGGCAGCUAACCCAUUUCCAUAUAUAUUUGUAAACAAGGUAAUUGGCUUGGAGGUGAGACGGGCGACAGAAAUAGAGAGUCGAUGAGAGAGCCCAAACGUAUCGAUAACGCACGGGAUCGAGCGAUGUUUUGUUUUUUGUUUUUUUAAUAAUUGGGAAAGGAAGUUUCAACUAAUUUUUUAGAUAGAGAGAUAACACAUUAAUUAAUGAGUUAAAUGUUUGAAUAUUUAUGUGAUAUUUUGUAUUUAUUAGUGUAUAAUCCUUAUUAUGUCUCUCGAUCUCCAUGUUAUUAAGAGAUUAACGCGAUUUUUUGUUUAUAAAUACUAGCUUUUGUUAUAUAAAUAUCUCCAUAGAUCAGGAAUAUAAAUAAGUAAUAAGUGAUAUUAAGUAGGCUAAAACUAAAGUGAAGGAUAUAAGAGUCGAGAUAGAUUGAAUUAUUGUAAAAAUUCUCCUUUUUAUAAGUAAAGAGUUAUUGUAAUGAAAAUAUUUUACAAUUAAAUUUGAUAAAAUAUCAUGAAUUUUUUAUCAAUAAAAGAUGAUAUGGAUCUUGAAUAUAUAAAAAUAAAUCUUCUACUUAAUCAUUUUUUUGAAUCGAAAACUUAAGCCUGUAACACUAUAUGUUAGACACAUUACGCUUUCUUUUCAACUUUCUUCCAUAGUUUUGGUUUUUUUCUCUCAAGAAAAAUUUUUAAUUAAAAAAUAUUAUAUAUGUAUCACUUUAAUUAUUCUCCCAUCUCUUUGUUGUGGUGCUUUAAAUUAUUCAUUAUUUUACAUAUAUUUUGAAAAAAAUAUUAUUAUAACUUUUCAUAAAAUUUCUAACAUGAUUUAUUUACUUAACAAAUUAACGAAUAUCAUUUAUUUUAAGUAAAAAAAUAUAAUAUUAGCAUUCUGAAUAUUUAACUCAUUAGUUAGUACAUAAUCUCUCUAUUUAAAAAAUAAGAUUCGAAUAUCUCUUUCUUUAAUUUUAAAAUAUAUAAUAUAAAUAAACAAAAUAAAAAACAUCAUAGUUCAUAAAUAGAUAAAAACAUCAUUUUCUUCUUUAAUUGGAUUUGAAUAUUAAACUUAAAUAAAGCUCUGCGUUAAUAAAAAAGGAAUUUUGGCCAAACCAAGUGAGUCAUUAUAUUUAAAUGAUAUGUUUUUAUUAUGUGUUUGAAUUCUAUAUUUAAUAUUCUUUUGUAUUAACUUGCAAGUUUCUUAUUGUAUAUACCCUUUUUUAUUGAAGAAAAAUAUAAAUAUUCAUAUUGUUGGAUCCAAGAUCUACGAUGUAAAUGUAUGUCUAGCAAACAUUGUUAUAACGCAUACUAUAUUUAAAGACAAUAAAUAUUUUUUUCAUUUGACAACGGAAAAAAAUCAAUAUCAAUACAAUAUUUGGUAAUACAAAAUUAAUUAUAGGCUCCGGAAGAGAUAACAUUUUACUACGUUGAGGAAUAAAGUUUAUAAUAAAGGAUAUAUUAUUAAAUCUCAAAGAAGUCUAUUAUGUUUUAAAUAUAUUUGUCUAAAUAGAUAUCAUAUUGAGACAACGAAUGAAAGAGACACUUAAUACCUUUAUAUUACAUUUAUUAUCUUAUAGAAAGUGCGUGUUGAAAAAAAAUUGCUUGUUUUAUUGUCUGGAGUAAACUAUAAAAAUAUUAGAAUAAUUGAAACUCAUGGAAAAUCAAAAGUUUACUAAUGAUGUUAACAUUUGGCAUGAUCGGUUGGACCAUCCCGGAUCAAUAAUGAUGCAAAAACUUAUUGAAAAUUAAUAUGAUCAUUCAUUGAAAAACUAAAAGAUUUUUCAAUUUAAUAAAAUACUCAUGUGCUGCUUGCCCUUAAGGUAAAUAAAUUAUAAGGGUAUUACCAGCUAAAGUUGGGAUUGAAUUCUUUGCGUUUUUGAAACAUAUUUAGGGUUAUAUGUGGAUUCAUACAUCCACCAUGUGAACCAUUUAAAUAUUUUACGGUUUUAAUCAAUGUUUCAAUUAAAUAGUCAAUACGUUAUUAUUAUCAACUUACAAUUUCAUCUUUGCAAGAUUAAUCGCCUAAAUCAUUUGUUUGGAAGCAUAUUUUUCUGAUUAUGUAAUCAAGACAAUUCAUCUUGACAAUGCUAGUGAAUUUACAUCUCAAGCCUUUAAUAUUGCAAAUUAGUUGGAAUAAUUGUUUAAGAACUUGUUACUUAUGUUCAUACACAAAACGGUCUAGUAGAAUCAUUUAUUAAACACUUCCAACUGAUUGCAAGGCUAUUACUUAUGAAAUUUAAACUCUUAAUUUCUAUUUGGAGGCAUGCCAUUUUGAAUGCAACAGCAUUUGUAUGCAUCAGGCCAAACAAGUUAUCUUAAAUUCUCUUUUACACAAUUGGUUUAUGGUUAAAAAUCAAAUAUUUCUCAUCUAAGAAUUUUUGGGUGUGUGGUAUAUGUUUCAAUUGCGCCACAAUGCACAAAAAUGAGCCCUCAAAGGAGAUUAGGAAUAUAUGUUGGAUACGAAUCUCUCUUUGUAAUUAAAUAUUUAGAAUUAUCAAUAGGAGAUUUAUUCAUGACAAAGUUUGUCGAUUAUCAUUUUGAUGAAAUAAUUUUUCUAACAUUAGGAGAGAGAAAAAGCAGUUGAAAUUAUUUUUUUCUUAGAAUAUAUUAUCAUUAUCUAAUUUUGAUCAUUGCAUAAAUCAAUGUGAACUUGAAGUUCAAAAAAAAAUUUAUUUGUUAAAAAUAACAAAUUAAUUGUCAGACAUAUUUAUUGACCUAAAAAGAAUAAUAAAAUCUCAAAUUACAGUUGCAAAUGUUCCUAUUAGAAUUGAUGUCUUUAUAGGACAAAACACGCUAAAAGUGUAGAAGACCAAUCGAUUCCAAAGAUAAAAUCUUCGAAAAAAAAAAGAGUAAAUAUUUAAGAUGGUCAGAAAGAAGAAGUCAAAACUCUAAAAGAUAUAAUUGAUAAAAAUUUCAGAAGAAAUUCAAGUACCUGAAAUCAUUGAAAAUAAAGAUAUAUCAAUCAAUUAUAUCAUGACGGGAAAAUAUGGAACCAGAAUGAAAUAAACAUCGACAAUAUUUUUGUAUAUAAUAUAAUGCUGCAUAUUGUAAAAGAAAAAUAGAGAUCUUGAACUUAUAUUUAUUGAAGAAUGUAGACAAAGAAAUGAUUGACCAAUGAGAAAAGACGUAAUUAAUGAGGAAUUGAAUUGAUUUGCAAAACGUGAAGUUUUUUUAUUUGUAGUCCGUACACCAAAAAGUGUAAAAUCAUUGAUAUAUAAAUGAGUAUUUGUGCGAAAACGAAAUGAGAAAUAUGAGAUUAUGAGAUAUAAAGCACGACUUGUAGUGCAAAGUUUUACCCAAAAACCUAGUAUUGAUUAUAAAGAAACAUAUUCUCCUACGGUGGAUAUAAUUACAUUUCAAUAUUUAAUUAGUUUGAUAAUACAUGAAAAGCUUGAAAUGCGUCCUAUGGAUGUAGUUAUAGCUCAUUUAUACAGCUCACUUGAUAAUGAUAUUUAUAUAAAAAUCCUUGAAAGAUUUAAGUUGCUUGAAGCAUAAAAUUUGAAUUCUUGAAAAAUUUAUUUGAUUAAAUUAAAUAAUUUUUUUAUGGAUUAAAGUAAUUCGAACACAUAUGGUAUAAUCGUCUUAAUGAAUAUUUAUUGAAAGAAAGCUAUAUAAAAAUCCUAUAUGCCAAUGUAUUUUAUAAAAAAAUUUAGAUAUGAAUUAUCAUAAUUGUUGUUUAUAUUGAUGAAUUGAACAUUAUUGGAACUCCUCGAGAGUUAUCAAAAGCUGUGGACUUCUUAAAGAAAGAAUUUAAGAUGAAAGACCUUGAAAAAUAAAAUUUUAUUUGAGUCUUUAGAUUGAAUACUGGACAAAUGAAAUUUUAUCCAUCAAUCAAAUUAUAUAAUAAAAGUGCUAAAACAAUUAUAUAUGGACAAAAUAUAUUCAUUGAGUUCAGCAAAGGUUGUAAAGUCACUAGUUAUGAAAAAAGGACCCUUCUGAUCUCAUGAGGAUAAUUAAGGACUUUUUGAUCCUAAAAUACCGUAUUUAAUUGCAAUUUGAGCAUUAAUGUAUCUUACAAGCAAUACAUAACUUGAUAUAUUAUUUGUUGUAAAUUUAUUAGUAAGAUAUAACUCUUCUCUAAGUCAAAGACAUUGAAAUGGAAUUAAAUAUAUACUUCGACAUCUCUGAGGAACAAUGGAUAUAAGCUUAUAUUAUUCAAAUGCAUUAAAAUCAAAUUUAAUUGGUUAUACAUAUAUAAGAUAUUUAUCUGAUCCAUAUAAAACUUGAUUUUAGACAGAUUACUUGUUCAAAUAUGGAGGUACGACUAUUUCAUGGUGUUCUGUAAAACAAACUAUAAUUGCUAUUUUUUUUAACCAUACAGAGAUUUUAGCAAUUCAUGAGGCAAGUUGUGAAUGUGUCUGGUUAAGAUCUGUAACUCAAUAUAUUUAAAAAAUGUGUGGCUUGUCAACCAAAAAGGAAAUUCUAAUAAUGUUUAUAAGGAUAAUAUUACUUGCAUAGCAUAGUUAAAGGAAGGAUACAUUAAAAGCGAUAAGAUAAAACAUGUUUCGUCAAAAUUCUUCUUCAAUCGUGUUCUCCAAGAAAAGGAUGAUUCUAGUGUUCAACAAAUUAAGUCAAAUAACAAUCUAUCAUUUUUAUUCACUGAAAUCAUUCCUUAUACAACAUAUGAAAAGUUGGUAUAAAAGAUUGAAAUGUAUUAUUUUAAAGAUCUCUAUAAUGCAACCAUCAGAAAAGUAAAAUAUGCACUGUGCUCUUUUCUUUCGUCAAGGUUUUUUUCACUGGGUUUUUCUUGAUAAGGUUUUUAAUGAGGUAGUAUUUCAAAAGCGUAUUCUUGAAGAGAAUUAUGUACUUUUUUUCUUUCACUCAAAUUUUUUCCUAUGAGGUUUUUUCCUAACAAGAUUUUAACGAGGAAUGUUCUUAAUAAGGGAGAGUGUUAUGAAUAAAUGUAUGAAUGUUCAUUAUGUUAUGACCCAAGAAGUGCAGACUAAGUCAAACAGCUUAAUAGGUAAGAUGCAAGAAAUGUAAUAUAAUUUGAAUUCUUAAAUAGACUUAGAUUAAAAUUAUAAUUCAAAAGGUUGUUAACCUAUAAAUAGACCCUAAAUAGAUCCCUCACUUUAUUUAUAAAGACACAAUUGAAUAAAAUCCUUUUAUUCUCUCUAAAUACUUUUUUACUCUCUCUAAAUACUUUCUCUUAUAGUUGUUCUCUUAAUAUUUAUUUUAUAACAAUCAAUAAAUAAUACUUUUUUUGUCAAAUUGCAUAUAUAUAUUUUUAUUUCAUUUCAAAAUUAUAUUUACCUUUUUUUAACAACUAAACUCUUACUUUUUAGUACUUUUCUUUUAGGUUUUAAAUUUAAAAUCUUAUUAUUAUUUUAUCAAUUUCAUAAUUUUUUUAAAAAUAUAGCAAAACACUACAAGUCACUUGUAAGUAAAAAAUACAUCUAUAUAACUUAUAAUAUUUUUUUUUACUUUUUAAAAUUAAAAAUACUACAAUUAUCAAUAUUAUAAAAUAAAUUACUUGAACAUGUUUUUUUAAACUUGAGUUGAGUUCAAAAUAUUAUUUUUUUUUUGAAAAAAAUAAGAUUCUAACUCAUACUCUUUAAAUAGAAAAAUUAUGUACUAAUCAAUAAAUUAAAUGUUCAAAUAUAAAACUUUAUUAUAUUGAUAAAUAUUUUUUUUUAAUUUUAAUUUUAAAAUAUAUUUAAUAAUAUUAAAAUUAAUUAUAAAUUCAAUUAAAAUAAGUAGACCAAACUCUAAUUUAUAAUCAUAGAUAAACUUUAAAGAUAUCAACCCAACCCAACUUAACCCGACUCAUGGACUCAUGUACCUGAGAUGGACAUGGACAUUGGAACAAAGUUCCCUAAGACCCAAAGCUCACUUUAUGAAUGAAGUUAUUUGUUGUCUUACUUGCGUGCUUAACUGGCCUGCAGGAUACUGGAGCAAAGAACAUAGACAAAAUAAUUGAGCUACAAACUAAAGAUUACAAGGAAGAAGGAAAAAUGAAGAAGCAAUUAAUAAGAAGACCAGUCGUAAUUUUUUUGAUAAAAAGAUUCUCAUCCAUUGAUAAAAGCCAUCCAAUAUCUACAUACCAAGUGAAGUCCACUUUAUGGUAAGCUGACUUAAUCUUUAUGCAGUUACGACAACGUAAACAAAAGAUAAUACAGCAAUUUCAUUUUCACCAAAGUUUGUAAAUUACACCUGUAGUGUAUAAGAUAAUAAUACAUGCACCAAUCAGAUGGAUACAAAGAUGAGAAUCGAAGGAGUAAUUAAGAUCAAGCACAUUUCGGUAGCAACAAGGCAGCAGCAGCAAAGUGAAUAAUUCAUUGAGGACCACCUCCACUGAUAACAUAAUGGAGCCACCCCUACAAUGCCGACAUAGCAUCUUACACACCAGAUCAAAGCAGAAAGAAUGGACCAAGCACUACACGCUGUGCUAGCAAAUAAAACAUAACACAUAUUGUCAAUUGAGAAAGAACGCGUACUUGCUACAGCAGGGGCAUAUCUUCUAAUGAUAUUUUAGCUUCCUGUUCUUGUGCACACUUCUUACCAUUGUCACUUAUUAUCUUCCCACAUAAAGCAUCAUUCUGCACCUUAAGGACUUUAUUUUCUAUUCUCAGUCUUGCAUUCUCAUCCUCAAGCAGUGAUAAGUUAUUAUUAAGAUUGGCAUUCUUCCUCAGUGAAGCGUUUUCAUCUCUUAGCUUCUCAUUUUCAAGACGCAGU